rnacentral:rRNA from 1 species
CAGUCGCGCGGUAAUACGAAGGGGGCUAGCGUUGCUCGGAAUGACUGGGCGUAAAGGGCGCGUAGGCGGCGAUCAAAGUCAGGCGUGAAAUUCCUGGGCUCAACCUGGGGGCUGCGCUUGAUACUUGGUUGCUUGAGUGGGGAAGAGGGUCGUGGAAUUCCCAGUGUAGAGGUGAAGUUCGUAGAUAUUGGGAAGAACACCGGUGGCGAAGGCGGCUCACUGGACCGACACUGACGCUGAGGCGCGAAAGCGUGGGGAGCAAACAGGAUUAGAUACCCCAGUAGUCCCUGUCUCUUAUACC